rnacentral:rRNA from 1 species
UGGGUAGUCCGCACGAGCGCACCUUACUUUUAGUUGCCAUCAUUUAGUUGGGCACUCUGAAAGAACUGCCAGUGAUAAGCUGGAGGAAGGUGGGGAUGACGUCAAGUCCUCAUGGCCCUUACGUGUUGGGCUACACACGUGCUACAAUGGUAUCUACAACAGGAAGCAAGACGGCAACGUUAAGCAAAUCCCAAAAAGAUACCUCAGUUCGGAUUGCACUCUGCAACUCGAGUGCAUGAAGCUGGAAUUACUAGUAAUCGUGGAUCAGCGUGCCACGGUGAAUACGUUCCCGGGUCUUGUACACACCGCCCGUCACACCAUGGGAGUUGGUUCUACCUUAAGGCAAAGUUUAAAACCUUUGACCACGGUAUAGUCAGCGACUGGGGUGAAGUCGUAACAAGGUAGCCGUAGGGGAGCCUGCGGCUGGAUUACCUCCUUUCU